rnacentral:lncRNA from 1 species
CAGCGCCUGGCAGCCCUGUGCCUUGGGCAGGGGUGCCACCCACUAGGCCAGGCUGCUCAAAGCCACAUCCGGCCUGCCUUUGAACUCAUGCCGGGAUGGGGCAUCCACAGCUUCUGUGGGCAGCCCGGUGCAGCGCCUCGCCACAUGACCCAUUUUACCUACACCUAAUUCACACCAAAAUCUAGCGGGAGAGAAGAACAGACAAGAGCCUAACAAAAGCCGCAGCCAGGAAGGAAAGCAGUGUAGCUCGUAGCUUUAGCGAGCUGCGGGGAGGAGAGCACCCCGAGCUUCUCUUUGUCCACUCCUGCUCCUGGCAUUGCCCCAGCGCUGUCCCUGGCAGGGCCCUGCCCCAGCGGGCCGGGAGCGUCUGCCCCGGCUUCCUGCAGCACACACCGCUCCUGGGAGCGAGAACUACGUGUCUGCAAUGUCUUGGGACUCAGAAGUUUAAUUAAACACCCUUCAAUUUCAUACUAUGGGGAGGAACCCAAACCAAAGGCAGGGUGGGUUGCUGACCGUGGUGAAAGGGAAGAAAGAUGGCUGUGGGAGACGUGCACACAGUACGGUGCUGCCCACCCUGCCCUGCUACGUGUGGCGGGGAGGCAUUCACUCCUGGCACCUUUCCUUCCCCCUCCCUGGCCCAGCAAGUGCCGCAGGGCUCGGGGAGGGCUGUGGUUGCAGCACAAAAAAAGCCCAGCCUAGGAGAAGCUGGUUUUUGGGUGAUUUCUGCCUCCUGCAGGAGAGGGGGCCCGCGGCCUGCUGCCAGGCUGGGCGGCAGCACGCAGCAGCAAGAAACACGGAAAUCCAAGCAGUUGUCAGUAUUGGGAUUCCUGUUUCAUCUUGGAUGAUUGUUCACCUCAGGAAUGUACUGUGGAUCCUCUUCCUUCCCAGACUGAACUACAUGUUUGGAGAAACCAUUGUGAUUUUAAAAUCUCUCAGAAAGAAUGCAAAAUGGAAAUCAGAAUGGUAAAAAAUGGUGCUAUAAACAGUGAAAUCAGCUGAGGAAGUGGCAGAUGCACCUCAGUAAUGGCAUUACAGAAGCUGUGGAAGGAGUCCAGCCAUUCCUUGAAGCAUUAGAGAGCAUCAGAUUCCUGCAG